rnacentral:rRNA from 1 species
AGAGUUUGAUCAUGGCUCAGGACGAACGCUGGCGGCGCGCCUAACACAUGCAAGUCGAGCGAGAACUUCAGAAGGGGUAACCCUUCUGAAGGGACAGCGGCGAACGGGUGAGUAACACGUGAGGAACCUGCCCUAGACUCUGGGAUAACAGCGGGAAACCGCUGCUAAUACCGGAUACUCCAUUUGUUUCGCAUGAAGCGGAUGGGAAAGAAUUUCGGUCUGGGAUGGCCUCGCGGCCUAUCAGCUUGUUGGUGGGGUAACGGCCUACCAAGGCGACGACGGCUAGCUGGUCUGAGAGGACGACCAGCCACACUGGGACUGAGACACGGCCCAGACUCCUACGGGAGGCAGCAGUGGGGAAUCUUGCGCAAUGGGCGAAAGCCUGACGCAGCAACGCCGCGUGGGGGAUGAAGGCCUUCGGGUUGUAAACCCCUUUCAGCAGGGACGAAUUUGACGGUACCUGCAGAAGAAGCCCCGGCCAACUACGUGCCAGCAGCCGCGGUAAUACGUAGGGGGCGAGCGUUGUCCGGAUUUAUUGGGCGUAAAGAGCUCGUAGGCGGCUUGGCAAGUCGGGUGUGAAACCUCCAGGCUCAACCUGGAGACGCCACUCGAUACUGCUAUGGCUAGAGUCCGGUAGGGGACCACGGAAUUCCUGGUGUAGCGGUGAAAUGCGCAGAUAUCAGGAGGAACACCGGUGGCGAAGGCGGUGGUCUGGGCCGGCACUGACGCUGAGGAGCGAAAGCGUGGGUAGCAAACAGGAUUAGAUACCCUGGUAGUCC